rnacentral:tRNA from 1 species
UCGGGUCGAUGCCGGGGCAGACCGCGGCGUCGCUGUCCCGCACCGGCCAGGAGGUGGCGUCGAUCGUCACGAUGCGGCCCGGA